CUUGCUCCUCUUUUUCCAUUUUUUAUUACAAUUUCGAAGCUUGCUUUGAAGAUUCUUCAGACCAUUUUCAUUUUCUUUCCCUAUAAUCAUUGACGUAAUUAGACUUUCAAUCAAAUUUGUCUAUAUAGUAUAUAUACCAUUGAUGAAAUUCUAAAUCGGUCUAUUUAUUUUGGGCAUGGGAAUCUCAAUGAUCAUAUUACGGACAGUCAUAAUAAGCCUAGAUUUAAACGUCAGAAAUAAUCAAAAUGUUACUCUUUGAUAUAUGUUCCUAAAGCUUCAGUUAUAUGGAAAAUAUAACAAUCCAACAAUCAUGUGAUGCAAAUUUGUCUGAUGAUUAAUCUUUCCCUAAAUCUGGAAAAGAAAAUCAAAUAUUCCAUAGUUUAGGUACAUGUGAUAAAACAAUUGGACAAAAAUAUUUAGUUAGAAAAUUAUUGGUUAGUUAGGUCUAGAGAACAUAUUGAAUAUCGAAAAAUGAUUAGAUCUCGCCAAUGAUGACUUCAUUCUACGGCCAAUGCUGUAAAGAUCAAUCAAAGCUAAUAUACACAUGCAUGAAAGAUAUGAUUAAGCAAAACCACAAUUAUUAGUCCUACACAAUGCAAAACACAUAGAAUGAUUACAAUAAUACUGUUUUUUUUUUUUUUUUUGGGCAACACAAUAAUACUGUUAUAUUAUUCGGUUGUCUAUGAUUUUUUGUUUGGUUUACCGAUUUGUUUAAUUUCUAUUUUCAUAAUAUAUAUACUAUCAUGCUUUGUCAUACUGCUUUGUUGGAAUGUGGAUUCCUUUUUAAUCAAGAAGAAAUGAUUAUAAGAAAAC
rnacentral:lncRNA from 1 species